rnacentral:rRNA from 1 species
GUCUUGUACCGGCGACGUGUCUUUCAAGUGUCUGCCUUAUCAACUUUCGAUGGUAGUGUACCUGACUACCAUGGUGAUGACGGGUAACGGACGAUAUGGGUUCGACUCCGGACAAGGGGCCUGAGAAAUGGCCACUACGUCUAAGGAUGGCAGCAGGCGCGCUAAUUACCCCCUCUCAACAUGAGGAGGUAGUGACGAGAAAUAACGAGACCGAUCUCAUACGAGGCCGGUCAUCGGAAUGGGUACAAUUUAAACCCUUUAACGAGUAUCUAUGAGAGGGCAAGUCUGGUGCCAGCAGCCGCGGUAAUUCCAGCUCUCAAAAUGCAUAGAAUUAUUGCUGCGGUUAAAAAGCUCGUAGUUGGAUCUGUGCUAGCCGUCCGGUGCACUCUCUGAGUGUUACUGGUUCGGCUGGCUUUUCUGCCGGUCUCUCCCCGGCGUUGGCCUUCACCGGUCGGCGUCGGUGGGCUGGCGAGUUUACUUUGAACAAAUCAGAGUGCUUCAAACAGGCGUUUCGCUUGAAUGUUCGUGCAUGGAAUAAUAGAAGAGGAUUUCGGUCCGAUUUUAUUGGUUUUGCUGACCGAGAUAAUGGUUAACAGAGACAAACGGGGCCAUUCGUAUUGCUACGUGAGAGGUGAAAUUCUUGGACCGUAGCAAGACGGACUACAGCGAAAGCAUUUGGCAAGAAUGUCUUCAUUAAUCAAGAACGAAAGUCAGAGGUUCGAAGGCGAUCAGAUACCGCCCUAGUUCUGACCGUAAACGAUGCCAACUAGCGAUCCGCCGGCGGAUUUAUUCGCCCUGGUGGGGAGCUUCCCGGAAACGAAAGUCUUCCGGUUCCGGGGGAAGUAUGGUUGCAAAGCUGAAACUUAAAGGAAUUGACGGAAGGGCACCACCAGGAGUGGAGCCUGCGGCUUAAUUUGACUCAACACGGGGAAACUCACCCGGCCCGGACACCGUAAGGAUUGACAGAUUGAUAGCUUUUUCAUGAUUCGGUGGAUGGUGGUGCAUGGCCGUUCUUAGUUCGUGGAGCGAUUUGUCUGGUUUAUUCCGAUAACGAGCGAGACUCUGGCCUACUAAAUAGUUGGCUCAUUGCUUCUGUGGGCACAACUUCUUAGAGGGAUUUUCGGUGUUCAGCCGCACGAAAUUGAGCAAUAACAGGUCUGUGAUGCCCUUAGAUGUCCGGGGCUGCACGCGCGCUACACUGGCAAAAUCAGCGUGCUUGUCCUUCCCCGAAAGGGGUUGGUAAACCGGUGAAAAUUUGCCGUGAUUGGGAUCGGACAUUGCAAUUAUUGUCCGUGAACGAGGAAUUCCUUGUAGGGGCGAGUCAUCAACUCGCUCUGAAUACGUCCCUGCCCUUUGUACACACCGCCCGUCGCUGCCCGGGACUGAGCCAUUUCGAGAAAUUCGGGGACGGUUAGUGUGCCGGCUUCGGCCGACGCACGGACUGGAACCGAUUUAAUCGCAGUGGCUUGAACCGGGCAAAAGUCGUAACAAGGUAGCUGUAGGUGAACCUGCUGCUGGAUCAUUACCCAAGUGAUUCCAUUCACCAUCUACCUGUGCUGUCCAGUUGAAACGUUGCUUGGCACCACCACAUGCCCCCGUCUGCUGACGGGCACGGACCGGUCGAGAUGGUCUGUGGGCACGGGACAACACUGAGUGGACGGCUACCCUGCGAGCACUCUGUGCUUUGUUGGGGUGUUCUCCGACGAUGGUGCUUGGUAUAUACUGACUCGUUGCUGAGCAAAGUGAAAAGCCUGAGGUUUGGCUGCGAAGCAAUCGAGUUGGUGGCGGACCGCCUUGCUGGUUGGUUUGCUGUACCGUCGUUGGACGAGCACGCUCGUUGGGUAACCCAACGGCUGUGCUGGUGUCUGUGCGUCGUUGAGCGGUUGUUGUGCCUGGCACAUGUGACACACUGGCCUGGGAAAGUGGUUCUUUCCUGGCCUUACGAACCGUAACUAGCGGUGUGUCCGUGCCUGUGUGCUACGUCCGUGGCCGUGAUGAGACGACGUGGUAGGGCCCGUGCUAUGCUUCUGCACGUGGCUUAAGACUCAAUGAGUGUCAGCUAGGCACCGCCAG